CAAACCCAGUUACCCACAACGCCUACAAAAUCACAGAAUACCUACAAUCUGCAAAUCUUGCAACUAAACGGCGUGAAGUUCGGCCGAGUUUACAAGAAGCGAAGAAGAAUGCAUCGUUGCAGAGUCUUUGUUAACGGUUGCAGAAACAUCCAUUACUCCCCUUCGAAGCUCUUCUCUCAGUAACAAGCAGUCCGCCGAAAAGAUGCUGGUCCAAUGGCUUCUCUUCUCAGGAAUCAAUCUGUCAUUAGAUUUCGUGGUCUUGGCACGAUUAAAUUUCUACAGGACCUCUUGACCAACGACGUCCGGCGGUUCAGUGAACCAGUACCGGAGACAAUGUCCCCUUUGAUUACACCCAAUCUUUCUACCGUCUCUGUCCUGCCAUUUUAUGCUACAAGAGAUUCCUUUAUGACUUAAUCACCCUCCCCGGUCCGGUGAUAAGCUCGACAGGACUGCCUCGGUUCCCGGUUCAGCCCCUGAUGAGGAAUUCGAUCGGUUGGCAGAUUGAUGCUACAUUGCUACUGUAGUGGAUGAGCUUCUGGAAUGCUUCAAGAAGUAAUUUCUACUUUUGAUGAUACCGGUUGAGAUUGUGAAUGCUGCCUAAGAAUUCUCUUCCUAGCAGCACUUUGGUAGAGGCAUUUCCAACUCAUCCACAGAAGAACCAGAUGCUGCAGCUCUUGGCUGCCGGGGUGCUGUGUUGAUCGGGCAUCUCAGCUUCAAAGGCAAAUGAUCAUGUGUGGCAGUGGUUCAAGGAUCCCAGAUUGAAUGGCUUGGUUUUAGGGGGAUCUUUCCAUCAAAUACAAUACCACCAUUGGUCAAGUCUGAUAAGGAAGGUUGGAGAAGGGGGUUGCAAAGGGCUUGACCAAGACUCCUAAAGGUACAUCCAUUUUAUGAGUAGGCCACUAGACCAGGAGCAAAGGUCAUUGAGAGUGCAUCCAACAAGAAGCCUGGGAUUGUGACAACAGCACUUGUGAUGUCAUGGGAUGGGUCCGUUGAGGCUAGAGGAAGCCUUUAAAGGAACAGGUACCUUGAGUAACAAAGGGCAGGAUGACAUGAAAUUUGAAGCUAUUAGACCAAAAUGGUGGCCUACUAAAUGGUUUUCCUGAGCAUCAAGAGCACCAUGCGGUUGCUUAGAGUUGUGAUUUUUCAAUCAACCUUGGGUCUGACAAUCUAAGUCCAAGUCCAAUGGAAUACCAACUGCAUCAAGAUAAUAAAAACUCAUGGAUUUUUUCCUUAUUUUCUGCACUUUUUUUCCAAUCAAAACUCCCCCAUGAAUUUGAUAAAGAACCACCUGAUUGGUUACCACUUUUGUUAUACUGGUUGAUUGGUUACAAGUUUUUACCGUGUCAUAGUUGAACCCCACUUGAAAUUGAUAUCUUAGGUUGUUUAGAAACAAUGGAAUGUGUUUAUCUUCUUGAAAACCUGAGAGUAUUUUAUUGAUAACCAAUAACAGAUUAUAUUUUGAAGGAUGAAGUUAAUGAUCUAACAUGCAAGGCUUUAAAAGACUAGGUGGAGAGACAAGGCAAUUGGACUGGAGGGGUUUGGCCCAGACCUGAAUGUGUUUUGAGGCUAAAAGAAUCCAAACAUUACACACAACAAAAGACCAAUAAAACAGUCAGUUAAGGCUGUGUUUCG